AACGACCAACUCUGGGCCUAGCAGCGACCGUCACUACGGAGAAAUAUAAAACAAAUUUAAUUGCUGAGUUUCCUUCCCGCUUUAUCCAAUUAAUUCUGAAAACAAAUGGACAAUUCAUUACUUCUAUCUUUCAAGAAAACCAGAGUUUUGUAGGUCAAACGCGCAUGCGCACUGCGCUUUUACGUACACGCGCGCGGCACACGUCAAUUCUAUUUUAGUGAGACUCCGCGUUUGUGUUGGACCAAAUAAACGAAGAGUCGCACGCUCUUAAUAAAAUUGUACUAUCGUAAUACUCCUCAAUAAUCGGAAACCGAUAUAAAUAUGUGGCGAGUGAUGUGACGCGAUCGAUAAUUGAACGAAAUGCGGCAAUGCGUCAUUAGAUCAACGCAGGACCAGUGAAAUCGAAACAUGGAGCCCCUCAUCGAUAGGAACAACUUCGCGAUCAGCGCGAUGGUGACCGUCGCAAUGCAGAUCCUGUUCUUCACCGUCGCGUCCCUACUGCAGAACGACAAGGUCACUGAUUUCACUGGAGGUGCUAAUUUUAUCAUUAUCGCCUUGUUGACAUUCUUUCUCGGUCAAGGAGGGAGCACUAUGAAGAGUUACGACAGCAGGCAGCUGAUGGUGACGGCCUUUGUGUGCCUCUGGGGCGUCAGAUUGUCAGGGUACUUGAUUUAUAGGAUCUAUCACAUUGGAAGAGAUAAACAGUUCGAAGAUAGAAAAAGUAACACCCUGAGAUUCGCUGUGUUUUAUACCUUCCAAGCACUGUGGGUGUAUGUGGUCAGUUUACCUGUGAUCAUAACAAAUUCUGCCCAUCAUUCUUUUCCUAAAGCGCCCAAAACCAUGACAACCUUGGACUCGGCCGGUGCAGGUAUCUUCGUCAUAGGAUUGCUAAUAGAAACCUAUGCAGAUCUCCAAAAGUUUGCCUUCAGACAGGAGCCAAGAAAUCAAGGAAAAUGGUGCAACGACGGUUUGUGGGGCUUGUCAAGACACCCCAACUACUUCGGCGAAGUAGUCUUGUGGUGGGGAAUAUUUAUCAUAUCUUUAAACGUGAUAGAAGGCGUGGAAUGGAUUUCAAUAUUAUCACCUUUAUUUACGACUUUGAUUAUAUUGUUUUUAUCUGGUAUACCGUUGCUCGAACGAUCGGCGGACGAGAAAUACAGAGAUAACCCCGAUUAUUUGUAUUACAAGGCAUCGACGUCGCCUUUGAUUCCAAUACCACCAGCGAUAUACGUGGAAGUGCCCAAGUUCCUCAAGUGCAUUCUAUGCUGCGAGUUUCCUAUCUACGACUCGACCGGAGACGAAUACCCAGCUCCGACGAUAGUGACAGAAACGACCAGUAUUUCCAUGGUCCAAACACAGACCUAGCUAAAGAACGCCGCGCGCGAUGACGCGGCGCACGGCGACGGCAAGGACCCGUCGCAGAGACCCUUGUGAUACGAGGAACGAUCGCUCAAGUUGCCGAACUCGCUGCCACUCAAGAAAAACAACACCAUCGAAAUGAACCAAUACAACACUUACAUGGAGAACUUGAAGAAAAGUAAACGAAUAGCUAUGGGUCUGAUCGAUAAUACUAAAGAUGUUAUGGACGAAAUCCGAUUAGCCAGCCCGAAUAGUUACGAGAACUCUCCCACGACGAGCGACGGGAGACGUCAGCAAGAAAUAAUCAAAUAUAAAAACAUAACAUUCAAUACCACAGCGAUACUACAUCACUAUCCGCAAAUGAAGUCCCCGGUCAAAAAGUCUGAUCAUAAAUUGCCAAUCGAUGUAAUCAGGGUUGAAAAUAAUAAUUCGAAUAAUGAAAAAGUUGCCAAAAAUGAUAAUUUUAAUAAUAAUAAUAAAAAGAUUGAUGAACUGGACCGAAUAGAGAUACUAAAUGAAAAAUUCACCGAAGAGAAAUUAGUGUGACGAAUGAGUGCUUCGGCUUGAGGUCUGCUGACUUUGAACUAUUUUGAAUAAAUUAUCAAACAUAUCGUUAAAAUGUAGCUAAUAAAAGACUGCUUGUAAUAAUUGUAGAUAUUCAUCUAAUAUGUGUAAUAAUUCAUAUUACGUGUGAGUGUUUUGUAUUACUGAUAAAAGAAAAGCCGUCUUGAAAAUAAAGUGAAUUAGUAAGAUUUAGAAUAUUGAAGCUGUCAUUAGAGAUUAAGGUUUGAGACAACGCAGUUGACUGGACAGUCUGUCUGUAAUAUCCACUGGCCCGGCUUCGACUCUUGUGUCGAAGUAACCUUCGGGGUGCCUUUACAGUACAAAGACUCUGAA
rnacentral:misc_RNA from 1 species